rnacentral:rRNA from 1 species
UACGUAGGGUGCAAGCGUUGUCCGGAAUUAUUGGGCGUAAAGGGCUCGUAGGCGGUCCAUCGCGUCGGGAGUGAAAAGCUGGGGCUUAACCCCAGUCCUGCUUCCGAUACGGGUGGACUAGAGGUAGGUAGGGGAGUACGGAAUUCCUGGUGUAGCGGUGAAAUGCGCAGAUAUCAGGAGGAACACCGGUGGCGAAGGCGGUUCUCUGGGCCUUACCUGACGCUGAGGAGCGAAAGCAUGGGGAGCAAACAGG